AUACAGAGGGUGCGAGCGUUAAUCGGAAUUACUGGGCGUAAAGCGCGCGUAGGCGGCUUAUUAAGUCAGAUGUGAAAUCCCCGGGCUCAACCUGGGAACUGCAUCUGAUACUGGUAAGCUAGAGUUUUGGAGAGGGAAGUAGAAUUUCAGGUGUAGAGGUGAAAUGCAUAGAGAUCUGAAGGAAUACCAGUGGCGAAGGCGACUUCCUGGCCAAAAACUGACGCUGAGGUGCGAAAGCGUGGGUAGCAAACGGGAUUAGAAACCCUAGUAGUCC
rnacentral:rRNA from 1 species